rnacentral:rRNA from 1 species
UACGAAGGUCCCGAGCGUUGUUCGGAAUCACUGGGCGUAAAGGGAGCGUAGGCGGCGCGGUAAGUCAGAUGUGAAAUCCCGGGGCUCAACCCCGGAACUGCAUCCGAUACUGCCGUGCUAGAGUAAUGGAGAGGUAGCUGGAAUUCUUGGUGUAGCAGUGAAAUGCGUAGAGAUCAAGAGGAACACUCGUGGCGAAAGCGAGCUACUGGACAUUUACUGACGCUGAGGCUCGAAGGCUAGGGUAGCGAAAGGG